AUUGAACGCUAGCGGGAUGCCUUACACAUGCAAGUCGAACGGAGUGGCGAACGGGUGAGUAAUGUAUCGGAACGUGCCCAGUAGCGGGGGAUAACUACGCGAAAGCGUAGCUAAUCCCGCAUACUAUUUGAGCGGCCGAGAUCGGAUUAGCUAGUGGGUGGGGUAACGGCUCACCAAGGCGACGAUCCGUAGCUGGUUUGAGAGGACGACCAGCCACCCUGGGAGUGAGACACGGCCCAGAACCCUACGGGAGGCAGCAGUGGGGAAGUUUGGACAAUGGGGGAAACCCUGAUCCAGCCAUCCCGCGUGUGGGAUGAAGGCCUUCGGUUUGUAAAGCACUUUUGGCAGGAAAGCGGUACCUGCAGAAUAAGCACCGGCUAACUACGUGCCAGCAGCCGCGGUAAUUC
rnacentral:rRNA from 1 species